GUGGAUUAAGUUUUCAAAAUCUGGAUAAAUUUAAUAUUGCGUUAUUAGCCAAACAAGGGUAGCGUCUUAUUAAUUUUCAUAAUUCUUUGCUUAAUCGUGUUUUAAAAGCAAAGUAUUAUCCAAAUAUAGAUUUCGCCAAUGCGCAAUUAGGAAAUUUACCUUCGCUUACCUAGAAGAGUGUCUGGGCAACAAAAGGUAUUUGGAUAAAGGACUAUGUUGGAGGGUUGACACGAGGGAACGUAUUUCCGUUUGGGGUGACUUAUGGAUAUUGGGAGCUAAAAUAGACAGAUUACAGAAUGGGACUAGUAAAGAAAAUAUUAAGACAGUAUCAGAUUUGAUUGAUCCAGCUAGCAGAACUUGGAAUACAGAUUUAAUCAUUAGUACUUUUAAUGCAGACGUUGCAAAGAAAAUAUUGUAGAUCCCUCUGGCAGAGCCAACUUAUGAAGACUUUCAAGUGUGUGCCGGGGGGAAUCAUCAGGCGAAUUCUCAGUUAGAAGUGCCUAUAAACUAUUACAAGAGGCUAAUUCGGGUCCUAGUAAUAAUUAUUUACAAACUGAGACUAGAGAUUUCUACAGGAAAUUAUGGAAUUUACAUCUCCCUCCGAAAAUUAAAAUUACAAACUGGAGAAUUUCAUGGAACUAUAUUCCUACUCUAUCAAAUCUCAAGAAUAAAAAAGUGGUCGUAGCAGCUAUCUGUCCCAAAUGUCAUAACCCUGAGGAAGAUAGCAACCAUAUCUUCCGGCACUGUCCUACAGCAAUAGAUGUGUGGUCAAAUUUAAAUCUCGCCUGGGUAUGUCAUUAUGAUCUUAACAGUAUAUGGGAGUGGCUCACCUGGGUUUUUAGACGAGGAAAUAUUGAGCAAUGUCGACUCUUCUGUUACGUACUAUGGUCAAUCUGGACAUGCAGAAAUCAGCUAGUUUACGAAAGAAAGAACUCUACAAGCAGAGAUAUCUCAAAUCAAGUCAUCAGCUACAUUUCGGAGUUGCAUGGAGUGGAACAGAAAAAAUUUACCUUAAAUGUUGAUAAAGGUCAUGAAUACACGGCAAGAAGCACGAGGGUAACUGUCUUAUUUGAUGCGGCUUUUGACAAGGGAUCCUCCAGAUCUGCUUCGGGUCUGGCUGUCCGUGAUGAAAGGGGUGUGAUCUUGGUAUCCAAAACGGUUAUCCACUCCGAUAUACCGACACCGCUAGCAGCGAAAACAGAUGCCGGGUUACAAGCGAUUCAGUUAGCCAUUUCAAUGGGUUUUAACAGUUUACAAAUAGUGGGGGACUCUAAAACAGUGAUAAAAAAAUGCCAAUCAAAAGAUCCGGACAAAUUGACUAUAGGAGCGUUCAUCAGAGACAUUCAAAGCAAAAAGGUUUAUUUUCAGAAUAUCGAGUUUCAUUUUAUCCCUAGAUCAGAAAAUGAUUGUGCCUAUUUCCUUGCCAAAGAAGCCUUGAAGAGAGGAAUAGGAUAUUAACUGCAGGGGGAGGAUCCGGACCAUGCUCAUCGUUGGAGGGAGAAUCGAAGACUAAGGCAGCCAGGUUGAGAACCGAAGAGUCAAGAUGAAAGAGAUGAGAGAGGUUUUCAAAGAAAUUUAUAGCAGAAGAGUAAAGAUAUGUUUGGGAACUGUUAUCAUAAAAGCUGAAAUGGUGACAUGAAAAGACAAGAGAAAAUGGCAUCCAACUGUGGUGAUUGACGGGGCAUUUAAUUAGGUUUCCUUUUUUUAUUAUUUAUUUGAAUUUUGUUUUGUUUAGGGGGCCUUCCUGAUCGGUUAGGCCUGAUUCUUUAGUUUUUUCAAGUUUAUUUGUUGUUUUUCUUUUGGGUUUCAGUCCAUUAAUAUGGGUGACUGUUUUUUUAUGUAUUUCUGAUUUAGUCUUUUAUAAAAGCCCAGUUGAUUCUUCAAAAAAAAUUUAUUUUAUAAGUUAGUAUCUGGUACAUUAUCUGUAUAUAUUUUUUAUUUUACAAAUAAUCUUAGAAAA
rnacentral:lncRNA from 1 species